CUUCAAAGUGUGAUUCCCCAAAGCAACGAGCACCACACAUCCUCGCCGCAAAACCCUCGAUACUCUCUCCUUGCUUCGAUUUGCUCGAAUCUGUGCUUAUACACACGCCGUGCCGCAUGCAAGCAACUUGAGAGUAAGGAGCCGCUAAUGGUGAUGGCAUAGAUGAAGAAGUGAGAGCAUAAAGUGAUCUUGCACCCGCUGCAUGUAAUUGCAUUGGUUGCCGAAUGGAUGCCAGACUCUCUGGAUCCCAAAUACGUACAAGCUGCAAUGCAUAAUCGUGCUUAGAACUCAAGAUUAUAUACACGAGGCAACAUGAACUGGCCCUUGCAAAAAUGACAGCAAUUUUUUGAGUAAGGUAAGAUUCUUGAUGAACACUAACCAGGUCAGCUCCUCCACUGAAGAGAAAGUUGUUGCUGUUAAGGUUAUGUACCAAUGAGCCUUCGUGUGCAGCUUUUACUUCAGCCUUCAUUUGCAGAGUUAACUUGCACCAUACUUGUAAAAUAGAACAGUUUGAUCCAUAUCAAAUCAUCUUAUGGAUAGAGAAAGUAUUGCAACUCUUGGGUUGAGUUGAGGUGUCCAACCUCUUCAGUAAAUUGAUCGAGUGUAACAUUGUUGAAGUGAACGAUUGUGUUUGUAAAGUACAAGACUUGGAUGA